UGUAUUAGGUUGGUGCAAAAGUAAUCGCAGUUUUUGUCAUUACUUUCAGUGGCAAAAACAGCAAUUGCUUUUGCACCAGCCUA
ensembl:miRNA